rnacentral:lncRNA from 1 species
CUUCCUGUUCCGGUUGCCGCGGAGAUUCGGUUGCCUAGUAAGAGGGGAGGUUUCGGCUUUCGCUUACUGUAGAUGGUGGGUCCCCUGGAAAGAACGUAUCGCUGUCACAAGCUUCUAAGAUGUUUCCAUCCCGGCCUGCUGCGGGCAGUCCCUGUCAUGCUAUGUUGUCCCCGACACAUUAUAAAUCUUAAAUUCUUUUAUCAACAAGACUAAGAACCUGCAAAAGGGAACCCUGAUACCUAGUAAUAUGUCUUGCUCAAUUCUUUGGGAUACAAUCUGGAUGUCACAUGAAGGACAACUCAAGACCCCCGUCCAGUUAUAUCAGCCUUUUAUUAUAGUUACUGACUUUUGCACAGAGUAUCGUGAUGAAAACCCAGAAAGUGGUAUUUGAAACGAAGACAUUGACAUUAUUUAAGUAAUAGUAGCACACGAUAACGUAUUAUCAGUUCUGGAUUUUUCUUUUGAGUGGGAGGGGAGGUUGAGAUAGCCCAGGUCUAUAGCCCUAGAACUGGCCUCAAACUCACAGAGAUCCGCCUGCCUCUGCCUCCCAAGUGCUGGGAUUAAAGGCAUGCACUGCCACUGCCCGGCUUCUUUGGCCUUUUUAUACCUUCUUAGACGAAAGUUCCUAGAAAAUUAUCUCAGAAAGAAAUGUUACAUAAAAUGGGAGUUACAGAAGGCUGUUGAUAUUAAGUUCAAAGCAGUGUUUCAUUCUAUAUGCUCAUUAUACAUUUAAAGCAACAGUUUCACACAGCCUUGCCUUAUCAUAGUGCACACCUGUAGCUUUAUCCAUGGACCUAAAUAUUUUUCCUUGAACAUAAAUUUGUUCAAGACUAUUCCUCUUUUUAGUGUAAUUAUGAAUGCUCACUGUAUUCCUUAUUAUAUAGACUUUACUUGCUAUUAUGAGGAAUUGGCACAUUCUAGUCGAUUCUAACUUUAUUACAUCUUUCUAGCAAAGCAACUAAGUCCAUUUCUAAAAACUUUCUUGAAUUAAUCAAAUCAAGAAUUCUAUAAAAUCAUUCAUCUAAACAGCAUUAAUUCACGAAAGUUCAUCUUUGUGUUGAUCUGCAGAAAAUCUGGUCAAUAGGGUGAGGUAAUGCCCAGGAAUAAUUAUAUUAAUAAUGACAGGAAAGGCAUAUCAGCUGCACAAAGCAGUCCUCUGGUGAAGUCCCUUUGGGAUCCAUACCUCACAGAGCUCACCCACCGCAGACGUGCAGAAGCAGCAGGCCACCUCCAGGAAGGCAACCUUAGCCUAUCCUAGGUGGCUCCUGACACCCAACCCUACAGCUCAUUUUGCAGACAAAGGCCAAGAGGUGCCCUAGUUCGUGUCCAUAAAAAAAUGACCAGAAAGCUAGAAGGUCCACCUAUGCAGUGGUAAGACUUCCUAACAUUUUAAAGAGCAUACAUUUUUUCUUUUUUUUUUUUUUUUUUGGAACUGGACUAUUUGAAAUAGUAACACAGUUACUAUUCUGUUGCCGUGAUAAAAUACCAUGACCAGGUCAUCUUAUUUGUGGGAGGAGGUAUUUGGGCUUACAGUUCCAUAGGGAUAAAAAUCCACCCUGGUGGAGAAGCAUGGUACCAAGCGGCAGCAAGAAGCUGCGAUCUCACACCCUCAGCUACAAGCAUGAGUCAAGAGAGCGAGUCGGAAGCCUGCGAUACCUCCAGUGAUACACUCCUACCAGCAAGGCUAGUCCGCGUAAACCUCACCAGCAGCACAGCCGACUGGGACGAAGUAUUCAAACGCCUGAGACUAUCGGAGACGCUCCUCAAUUGCAGCACAGUACCCAUAAGUACUGUACAGUGUGUCUAUGCAGGAGGCAAUUUUCUCCUGUUAGUUUCUUUUAAUAAACAAAGCCUUGGAUUCUCCUGCAUCAACAGGUACAAAUAUGCUAGACAAGCAGAACACACAGGUAUUUUCAUUUAUAACUUACAUCCAAAAUGUACAUAGUAAGUUCAUUGCUUAGGAGAGCAACCCAAGCCUCUUUCCAAGCCAUGCAUAGCAGCUUAUAUGUGCACUCUUCCUGCAGGAAGAAGAUGGGGACUAUUAGCUACAUCUCUGUGGAGCUCGUUUCGUUUACAUAUGUAUGUUACUUCCAAUUUUGCAUUUUCAGUGACAAAACUGCCAAAUCCAGAACAGUUGUCCUAUGAAAGGUGCAUUGAACCAUCUUGAAGCUAUAAUGCCAUUUCGCCAGCAGAUGGCGCUUCAUAGGUUAGGGUAGGGAUGCGGUGGGAGGGGAGUUUUUAAACCUGCUCUGAAAAUAUAAAAUGCAUUUAAUGGAAGGGAAAAUGAUAAUUAUAAUCUCAAAAAUUUUUAAAAACAUAUGUUUAAAACAUGCAAUUAGUGUUAAAGAUAAAGUACAACCAUUAUUUGUAACAAGUCACUACAAAUAAAGCAAAUAAAAGAUAAAACCUAGGUCGUAAAAAAAUGUAAGCAGUUCAUAUGAAUGAAUAAACAAUUAAAC